AGAUUGCGUCAGUAGCGGCGAGCGAAAGCGCAAGAGGGCAAACCCAGUGCUUGCACUGGGGGUUGUAGGACUGCAAUGUGCAAGAGCUGAGUUUAGCAGAACAUUCUGGAAAGUAUAGCCAUAGAGGGUGAUAGUCCCGUAUGCGAAAAACAAAGCUUAGCUAGCAGUAUCCUGAGUAGGGCGGGACACGAGAAAUCCUGUCUGAAUCCGGGUCGACCACGAUCCAACCCUAAAUACUAAUACCAGAUCGAUAGUGCACAAGUACCGUGAGGGAAAGGUGAAAAGAACUGAGGUGAUCAGAGUGAAAUAGAACCUGAAACCAUUUGCUUACAAUCAUUCAGAGCACUAUGUAGCAAUACAGUGUGAUGGACUGCCUUUUGCAUAAUGAGCCUGCGAGUUGUGGUGUCUGGCAAGGUUAAGCAAACGCGAAGCCGUAGCGAAAGCGAGUCUGAAUAGGGCGCUUAGUCAGAUGCUGCAGACCCGAAACGAAGUGAUCUAUCCAUGAGCAAGUUGAAGCUAGUGUAAGAACUAGUGGAGGACUGAACCCAUAGGCGUUGAAAAGCCCCGGGAUGACUUGUGGAUAGGGGUGAAAGGCCAAUCAAACUUCGUGAUAGCUGGUUCUCUCCGAAAUAUAUUUAGGUAUAGCGUUGUGUCGUAAUAUAAGGGGGUAGAGCACUGAAUGGGCUAGGGCAUACACCAAUGUACCAAACCCUAUCAAACUCCGAAUACCUUAUAUGUAAUCACAGCAGUCAGGCGGCGAGUGAUAAAAUCCGUCGUCAAGAGGGAAACAACCCAGACUACCAGCUAAGGUCCCUAAAUCUUACUUAAGUGGAAAACGAUGUGAAGUUACUUAAACAACCAGGAGGUUGGCUUAGAAGCAGCCAUCCUUUAAAGAAAGCGUAAUAGCUCACUGGUCUAGUGAUUUUGCGCGGAAAAUAUAACGGGGCUAAAGUAAGUACCGAAGCUGUAGACUUGCGCACAACUUAGAUUAUUUAAGUUUAGAAUAUGAGAAACUAAGUUAUGUUUAGUUAUAUUUUUACUGAUUUUUAUAGAGUAAAGAUAGAAAUAAAACUUAGUAAAAUCAGUAAAAAUAUUCUUAGGCUAAAGUUAAGUAGUUUAAGUUGUGUGCAAGUGGUAGGAGAGCGUU
rnacentral:rRNA from 1 species